UGCCUCAGUAACGGCGAGUGAAGCGGCAACAGCUCAAAUUUGAAAUCUGGCCUCUGGCCCGAGUUGUAAUUUGCAGAGGAUGUUUCUGGCGAGGUGCCUUCCGAGUUCCCUGGAACGGGACGCCAUAGAGGGUGAGAGCCCCGUACGGUUGGUCGCUAAGCCUCUGUGAAACUCCUUCGACGAGUCGAGUAGUUUGGGAAUGCUGCUCUAAAUGGGAGGUGUACGCCUUCUAAAGCUAAAUAUAGGCUAGAGACCGAUAGCGCACAAGUAGAGUGAUCGAAAGAUGAAAAGCACUUUGAAAAGAGGGUUAAAUAGUACGUGAAAUUGUUGAAAGGGAAGCGCUCUUGACCAGACUUGCGCCGGUUGAUCAUCCACCGUUCUCGGUGGUGCACUCUGCCGGCUCAGGCCAGCAUCAGUUCGGCUUGGGGGAUAAAGGCUUCGGGAAUGUGGCUCUCUCCGGGGAGUGUUAUAGCCCGUUGCGUAAUACCCUGGGCCGGACUGAGGUUCGCGCAUCUGCAUGGAUGCUGGCGUAAUGGUCAUCAGUGACCCGUCUUGAAACACGGACCAAGGAGUCGUCUUCGUAUGCGAGUGUUCGGGUGUCAAACCCCUACGCGUAAUGAAAGUGAACGUAGGAGAGAGCUUCGGCGCAUCUCCGACCGAUCCUGAUGUUCUCGGAUGGAUUUGAGUAAGAGCAUACGGGGCCGGACCCGAUAGAAGGUGAACUAUGCCUGUAUAGGGUGAAGCCAGAGGAUACUCUGGUGGAGGCUCGCAGCGGUUCUGACGUGC
rnacentral:rRNA from 1 species